rnacentral:lncRNA from 1 species
CCUCCCGGGGUUUGUUCUGAUCUUUUUCUGUUUGUCCAGAAAGAGUCCGGUGGUAAACCGUGCCCCUUUGACUGUCCCCAACUCGAUGAAGAUGCUUUUCCCCAGCCUUUGGUACACGAGUCUGGGGGUACACCAUUCCCCUUUAACUGUCCCCAAUUCGAUGAAGAUGCUUUUCCCCAACCUUUGGUAAAUGAGUCUGGGGGUACACCAUCCCCCUUUGACUGUCCCCAAUUCGAUGAAGAAGAUGCCUUUCUCCAACCUUUGGUACAUGAAUCUGGUGGUACACCGUCCCCCUUUGACUGUCCCCAAUUCGAUGAAGAUGCUUUUCCCCAACCUUUGGUACACGAGUCUGGAGGUGCACCGUCCCCCUUUGACUGCCCCCAAUUCAAUGAAGAUGCUUUUCCCCAACCUUUGGUACACAGGUCUGGGGGUACACCGUCCCCCUUUGACUGUCCCCACUUCGAUGAAGAUGCUUUUCCCCAACCUUUGGUACACGAGUCUGGUGGUACACCGUCCCCCUUUGACUGUCCCCAGUUCGAUGAAGAUGCUUUUCCCCAACCUUUGGUACAUGAAUCUGGGGGUACACCGACGCCCUUUGACUGCCCCCAAUUCGCUGAAGAUGCUUUUCCCCAACCUUUGGUACACGAGUCUGGUGGUACACCGUCCCCCUUUG